GAUGAACGCUAGCUACAGGCUUAACACAUGCAAGUCGAGGGGAAACGACAUCGAAAGCUUGCUUUUGAUGGGCGUCGACCGGCGCACGGGUGAGUAACGCGUAUCCACCCUGCCCAUCACUUGGGAAUAACCUUGCGAAAGUAAGACUAAUACCCAAUGAUAACCCCCGAGUGCAUCGGAAUGGGACGAAAGAUUUAUCGGUGAUGGAUGGGGCUGCGUUUGAUUAGCUUGUUGGCAGGGUAACGGCCCACCAAGGCAACGAUGAGUAGGGGUUCUGAGAGUCAGCUACACCAGAUUUGAGCUGCGGUCCGGACCAAAAUGCUAGGGGACGGAGGAGUGUGGAAUACUAGGCACUGAGCGAGAGCCUGACCCAGCCAAGUAGGGUACAGGAAGACGGGGCUAGUAGUUGUAAGCUGCUUGUAUAAGGGAAUAAAGUGGGUAACGUGUGACUUCUUGCAGGUACCUAAUGAAUAAGGAACGGCUAAUUACGUG
rnacentral:rRNA from 1 species